AGUGAACGCUGGCGGCAGGCCUAACACAUGCAAGUCGAACGGCAGCACAAUAAGGCUUUGUCCCUGCGGGGCGAGAGUCGGAGGGGGGUGGAAUGUAUCGGGAUCUGCCCUUUUUUGGGGGGGAACCCGGGGAGACCGUGACUAUAACACCAUACGCGCCAUGGGGGAGAACGCGGGAGAUCCUGAGCUUGCGCGGAAGUGUAAGCGGCGAUGUCGGAUUAGCUAGUUGGCGGGGUAAAGGCCCACCAAGGCGACGAUCCGUAGCUGGUCUGAGAGGAUGAUCAGCCACACUGGGACUGAGACACGGCCCAGACUCCUACGGGAGGCAGCAGUGGGGAAUAUUGGACAAUGGGCGCAAGCCUGAUCCAGCCAUGCCGCGUGUGUGAAGAAGGCCUUCGGGUUGUAAAGCACUUUUGUUGGGAAAGAAAAGCAGCCGGUUAAUACCCCGUUGUCAUGACGGUACCCAAAGAAUAAGCACCGGCUAACUUCGUG
rnacentral:rRNA from 1 species